rnacentral:rRNA from 1 species
GUGUCAGCAGCCGCGGUAAUACGGAGGGGGCAAGCGUUGUUCGGAUUUACUGGGCGUAAAGGGUCCGUAGGCGGUUGUGUAAGUCUGGUGUGAAAUCUUCGCCGCUUAACGGGAAGCAGCCACUGGAAACUGCAUAACUUGAGUCUGGUAGAGGCAAGCGGAAUUCCUGGUGUAGCGGUGGAAUGUGUAGAUAUCAGGAAGAACAUCUGUGGCGAAGGCGGCUUGCUGGGCCAGUACUGACGCUGAGGGACGAAAGCGUGGGGAGCAAACGGGAUUAGAUACCCCGGUAGUCCACGCCGUAAACGGUGCAUGCUAGGUGUAGGGGGUAUCGACCCCUCCUGUGCCGACGUUAACACAUUAAGCAUGCCGCCUGGGGAGUACGGCCGCAAGGUUGAAACUCAAAGGAAUUGACGG